AGAUGGUGCUUUGUGCAGGAUUUAGAGCGCCUGUUGGAGGAGUGAUGUGCCUGGAUUGAGGCUUGACUAAGUGGUGAGCAGCUCCAGAAUGGAGGGUGGUCCUUGAGAAGAGAGUGUAUUGGGUGGGGCACAAUCAAAGUCACAAGGGCAACUUGGCCUCUGUAACCAAAUCCAUUCUCCAUCUUCUACUCCUCACUCCUAUGACUUUUGAUGAAUUGUAUAUGUGUGUUCACUGGAUGAUUUUACAAACCAAAUUGAAAUUAUAUCUGUUUUGGGUGAGUUCCUAGCCCAAAUUAAUGGUGACUACUAUUACCUGGCCAGAUACCCAGGUAAUUCUUUCCUUUUAUAAGGUAGACAUUGAAAAAAAGGAUUUUUGAACAAACUAGUCUUUUAUUCAAGACUAGAGGCCUGAUGCACGAAAAUUCAUGCAUUGUGGGCGGGGAGGCAUGGAGGCAGGGAUCCUCAGCCCAGCCUGUGCCUUCUCGCAGACCAGGAGCCCUCGAGGGAUGUCCGACUGACGGUGAGGGGAGUGGGCCUAAGCUGCAGUCUGGCUUCCUCUGUGGGAGGCACCUGGUGGGGCAAUUGGGGGAUGGCGCCAGCAGGUGAGCAGCCGGCUCUGCCCCCGAUUGCCCCUCCACCACUUCUGGUCGCUGCCACGCCCCCCCAUCACCGUCCCCUCUGCCCGCUGGCACCCACCUUGGCUGGCCUGGCACUGCCCACUCACUGGCCCCAUCCCCCACCAACUGGUCAUUCUGCAUUGGGUUGAUUUGCAUAUUAGGUUUUUAUUAUAUAGGGUAUUAAAUAAUAUGUCUGAUUAAUUAAGCAGAGGAGGAAUUUUAAAGAGUGAGGGGCAGAAUUGUUGGGCAGGCUAGAGGCUGAGCAUUCAGGACAUAGACCCUAGACCAGAUGCGAAAAUCCAGACUGGGAACCUUCUGCCUUGUACCCUGUCAUCUGGGCUGCUGUUACCCCGUUCCGUCCUGGGUCACCCACUUCUGCAUUGUACUCUGGCUUGGUCACAUGCCUUCCUUAAGACAGGGAAAGCCAGGAUUCAUAUUUUUUGCUCCUAUAAGAAGGCAAACUGCACUCCCAAAGUCUCAGUGAGAAAUACCCUAAUUCUAGAAAGUGAUUGUACAGGUGCAAAUGUGCAAAUGAAAUGAUACUUGGAUAUUGUCGGCAUCUUUCUAUUAGUAAAGUAGGUUUCUUUUUUUAAUUCCAAAAGUGAAUGCCCACUUCUCUCCCCACCUUUGCAGAGGUGCUAGAAAGGUGUUUUUUGACAGUUGAGUUCUGUUUAGGCUCCUGCUGAUCCACCUCCUUUUUUUCUUUUUUUUAAAAAAAUAUGUCCUUGUUGAUUUUUAGAGAGAUAGAAAUGUCAAACUGCUGCCCCCCACUGGGGAUCAAGCCCACGAUCCAGGAAUAUGCCCUGACCAGGAAUCAAACUGGUGACCUCUAGGUUUAUGGGUUGAUGCUCAACCACUGAACCACACCAGCUGGGCACCACCUCCUUUAUUACUUUAGCUGAUGAAAAGUGAAGGCCUUUCCCUAUCACAGCCACUUCCUCUAUUACAGAAUGACAAGCACAAAAAAAGUACAGGCAGGAAAAUUCAAGGUGGCAGACCCUCUCAGACUAACUUGGCUUCACAUGAAAGAUGUUAGCAGGGGGACCACUGUGCUCUAAGCCAGCUGCCAGGUCUCAUGUCUUCUUUUAUGCAGGAGGAACUGGCAUAUCACAGUUGGCCACAUGUCCCUUUGCCUUCUCUUAUUCUCCUGCCCCUCACCACUCCCAGUACCAUCACUUGUAGCUUCCACUUAAGUAUCCCAUGGCUGCGUUAUUUCAAGUAUUGAACAGUAUGUAAAUUAGAGGUCUCCAGAGAAAUAGAACCAAUACUAUAUAUAUAU